UCCCCUUUGCUUUCUUUCUUUGGCUGCGCACUUCUCCCUGCAAUCUAAAUCCACCCAUUCUUCUGGUCAAUUAUCCCAAUGCAAUCCUUGUCUCUCAUGUCCUAAUUCGUGGAACUUCGGAGACGUUUUGUUUCGACAUCGUCUUGGCUCUCUUCAUUCCUUCUUUGAUUCAGCACUGUCACUUUGGCUCCGAGACAUUAAGUUGAUCCUCAAGUCAUAUGCAUUUCUACUGUCCUUUUUGGACAGUACACUCCACGCCUCCGACAAUAUCUGAAAUGCACCUUAUGCCCUUACUGACUUGUUCUUGUCAAGGUGCAGCGAGAGGGUCAUUCUUCGGUAAUGUCUCUUCAGUGUAACAUCCUCAGCCGAUGAAUCAACCCCCAUUAUGCCGUAGUAAUCAGGAGCGUCAUAUAUCUUGUGGCUGCUAGCAAUGUGUAUUUGGAUGGUCUCAAUCAACUGCGACAACCCAUCCAGUCCUGGAAAGAGGCUCUGAGCCCUUAAAGCCAAUCUCUUGCCUACCUCAAAGUCUCUUUCUAGAAAUUUAUUUUCAGCCAUCUCUUUGUCUCUUAUGGCUUCAUCCUUGUUGCAUUCCAUAUUUUGCUCUUUUUUUAUUCACCUCAAAUACUGCACUCAUAGUUAACAAUGGCACGUAUAAAUACAAGGAAAAAAAUGAUUUGAUAUAUUAAAGCAUACAUGAUCUACUGCAUAAUCGAUUUACAACAAUCGAUGAAUAAUCUUGGAGGAGAAUUAGCAUUCAAUGCUUGUUCUGAUAUACAUCGAGUUACUAUUUUAUUUUCUUC